GUGAUGAGGUAUCACUAAGAGUCUUGUUUUGCCUUAUUUAUCAUUUGAAGUGCUAAUGGUUGUUUUCCUGUUCAUCUUAGACCUAGUUUGGGAAUAUUUUAAACACAAACGUGUCCUUAAAAUUAAGACUGUCUGGGACACAUGUGGACUUGGCUUCCGGUCUGCGCUACAGGGGAGUGGGGCGUAGUGCAGCUGUAUUUUAAUAGCAUGAUGUGUUAGAAAGAUAGUUAGGGGGUAAGUGAGAAGGAACAUUUUAAUCUAAUCAUGAAAGUCCUUAAUCAGAGCCCUGCCUUCGGCAGGAGGUUAACAUUAGGGAGAUGGAACAGAACCACAAAUACAGGCUCCACCUCAUUAGAGAAGAAAAGCAGAGGCAAUGAUGUCACUGGCAAACUGUGGGAUGCAGGAUGAGAAAGCUCCAGAAGGCAAAGCUAGAGGGAAUACUGAGGAAAAGGUGAGCAGGCGAGACCCCUCAGCAGGACGAGGGCUAACGGAGUAAAGAAAGUGCCUUGAUUUCCGCUGCCUCCCACAUGUACUGAUUAAUUCAACAGCCUUCCAGUUUCAUGAAAUGGAGGUCAGAGAAACUUCAAGAACAUCGAACCAGGGAGAAUUAAGGGAUUAAUAAUGAUAUUAAAUAGGUUACCUUUUUUCUUUUCUUUUGGUUCACAUGCAUGCACUGAAUUGUAUUUAAUAAUCAUCUCUUAUUUGUUAGCUUGGGAAUAUAAUGAACUUUUAACUUCUUAAUGUUUUAGGAAUAUUGUGAGGGUGAAGAGACUGACUCAUGAGUUUCCCUAAACACACAGUGAGCUGUCUUAUUUCUUCUUUCCUUCAGGUGUGCCUUCUGCCUGCCUUGUCUCUAAGUCCCAGUUCAAAGGUGUUCUGUGUCUGGACCAUUCUGACCAGGUCCAAGGAGAACUUGAGUUGUGUGUGUCUACAGGAGAGGCCAGAUGGAAUCCUGUAUUUGCUGACCACCAAGCAAGGGGCACCACGUGUCCUGUUCCCAGCUGAGCCAGUAUUAGACACACAAAGAAUGACCAUAAAGAUAUAGGAGUUCAAAAUAUCACCGUGGAAUUGUUAAAAAGGUAAAUUUAUGUUAUGUGUUUUUUCCCCAAUUAAAUAUAUAUGUAAUACAUAUGAUUAACAUAUUGAUAUUAUAUGUGAUUAAUGUAAUACAAUAUAUAUAUGUAAUCAAUCACAUUGGGCAUAUGUAAUUAUAUAUGGAAAAUUAUAAAAGUAUUAGAUUUAAAGUACUUGAGCAGUCCUCACUGAUAACUCUAACAGAAGGAAAUGGUCAGGAUUACGACAUGCUCAGAUUAAGGAGCAGAACAUGCAUCGUUGCAACCUUAUUUCCAAAUUCAAUAAAAUACUGACUGGAGGUACCA
rnacentral:lncRNA from 1 species